CUUCAUUCUUGUUCCUCUUCUUCUUCUUCUUCUUCUUCCUUUCUUCUCUUCGUUCUUAUUCUUCUGCGAUUAUUUGAGGAAUCAAACUGAGGGUUUUGGAAGAUGAAUUGAUAAGGGUUCGAUCCAUGAAGUGUAUCUGGUGGUAAAGAUUGUUAUGUUUCUUAAUCAGACUCAAUAGGAUAUGGGAUUACAGAGAGUUAGAAUUAGGGUUUCUAUAAGUUGAUUUGGAAUUCGAUUAAGAGUAAAUAAGGAGAAUUUGGAAGAUGGGUUUGUUCCUAAUUGGUGUUUCUGUGUUUAUGAAGAAGAAGAUUGAGAUGUUGUUACAAUCGAAGAUACGAUUCUGAAGUUAGGGUUUCUGAGAACAAUGAAAGUGAUGGGAAUUAUGGUUUCUUUGAGAUUCGAUGAAGACGAGGAAGUUUGUGAGUCUGAGAUUGAGAGAAGAAGAGAAGAGUUAGUUUUAGUCGAUGGUGGUGGUGUUGAUUCAAGCGGAUGAUACAGAACCUGCAGAAAAGGUAAUUUGAGAAAUUAAAAUUAGGGUUCCUAAAUAGAAUUGGGAUUUAGGGUUCUUGAGUUUGGGUUACAGAUGGGAAAGAUCAAACUAUUGUUGGAUGGAAUAAGAAGACUUCAGAGUUGGUUAAAAAGGUUAUGUUGAUGUUUAAGGAUUUGGUGGCUUACCUUUGAGAUGGUUGGAGUACUGACAGAUGCAGGGAAGGAUUGUGGUUGUAGUUCAGGUCAAAUUACAGGGGAUAUGGAUAAAUGGUGGAAUAAGUAAACCAAGUUGCAAAUGGUGAUGUAGAUGUGACUAGUGAAAUUAUAAGUGUGAUGUUGGUUGGAUGAUGCAGUGAAGAACUAAUGGUAAUUUAAUGAGUUACAGAGCUGUGGAGAUGGUGGUAUGCAGUGACAGUGGUGUUGCAGGGGGUUAUCGUGUUGAUUGCAGAUUAUUGGUGGUAUUGAACUGGUGGUGUUAUGCUGAAGCUAUAAAUUAUAGUUGAGGUGGAACCAUAGUGUGUAUGGAAUUAAUGCAGGGGUUGCUGGACUAGUGGUGCUGGUGGAGGAAAUUGUGGGCAAUAUGAAGUGAGUGUGAUCUCAACUGAAGUAUAGAUUGAGUCAUAGUGUUAUGGUAUAACUGAGUUAGUAACACCGUUGAGGUGAGUGAAACUUGGAUUGAGUUUGAAAAGCUGUUAUUGCAAGGACAUAAGUUAGAUGUGUUGCUUAUGUUGUUUUUAGAUAUGGCUUGGUACUGCAAUGGCAGGUAAUGCAUAAAUUACAAUUGUAUAUUGAAUUGUAGGAUUCUGUUGAAAUGAAUGUAUUAUUGAAGUGUAGAUAAGAAGAGGAAUCUGAAUUAAUAUGUUGAACUGAAUCUCCUCAGUGGAAGCUUGCAACUGCAUUUGCGGGUAAAGCUAAGUUUGUAGUUGAAGUUAAAUCAUGAAGUUUAAUUGAAAUGUAUAUGUUUGUUUGUAAUGAGGAUUGUAGGAAUGUAAAGAUGUAAGAACCUUUAGUC